AGGAGUUUGAUCCUGGCUCAGGACGAACGCUGGCGGCGUGCUUAACACAUGCAAGUCGAACGAGAUUCAGUGAGUAGCAAUACUUACGAAGAUCUAGUGGCGAACGGGUGCGUAACACGUGAGGAACUUGUCCCGGUCUCUGGGAUAACAGUUGGAAACGACUGCUAAUACCGGAUGACGUCGGAACUUCGCAUGGAGUACUGACGAAAGGGUGACUGGAUCGGGAGAGCCUCGCGGCCUAUCAGCUUGUUGGUGGGGUAACGGCCUACCAAGGCAUCGACGGGUAGCUGGUCUGAGAGGAUGAUCAGCCACACUGGGACUGAGACACGGCCCAGACUCCUACGGGAGGCAGCAGUGGGGAAUCUUGCACAAUGGGCGAAAGCCUGAUGCAGCAACGCCGCGUGCGGGAAGAAGGCCCUCGGGUUGUAAACCGCUUUCAGAAGGAACGAAACUGACGGUACUUUCAGAAGAAGGUGCGGCCAACUACGUGCCAGCAGCCGCGGUGACACGUAGGCACCAAGCGUUGUCCGGAUUUAUUGGGCGUAAAGAGCUCGUAGGCGGUUCAGUAAGUCGGGUGUGAAAACUUUGGGCUUAACCCAAAGCGUGCAUCCGAUACUGCUGUGACUUGAGUACGGUAGGGGAGCGGGGAAUUCCUAGUGUAGCGGUGAAAUGCGCAGAUAUUAGGAGGAACACCGGUGGCGAAGGCGCCGUCUGGGCCGAAACUGACGCUGAGGAGCGAAAGCAUGGGU
rnacentral:rRNA from 1 species